UACGGGGGGAGCAAGCGUUGUUCGGAUUUACUGGGCGUAAAGGGCGCGUAGGCGGUCAGCACAAGUCAGUUGUGAAAUCUCCGGGCUUAACCCGGAAAGGUCAGCCGAUACUGCAGGGCUAGAGUGCAGAAGGGGCAACUGGAAUUCUCGGUGUAGCGGUGAAAUGCGUAGAUAUCGAGAGGAACACCUGCGGCGAAGGCGGGUUGCUGGGCCGACACUGACGCUGAAGCGCGAAAGCCAGGGGAGCGAACGGG
rnacentral:rRNA from 1 species